UACAGAGGGGGCAAGCGUUAUUCGGAAUUAUUGGGCGUAAAGCGCGUGUAGGCGGCUCGGUAAGUCUGCUGUGAAAGUCCAGGGCUCAACCCUGGAACGCCGGUGGAUACUGUCGAGCUCGAGUCCGGAAGAGGCGAGUGGAAUUCCUGGUGUAGCGGUGAAAUGCGUAGAUAUUGGGAGGAACACCGGUGGCGAAGGCGGCACUCUGGGCCGGUACUGACGCUGAGGAGCGAAAGCGUGGGGAGCGAACAGG
rnacentral:rRNA from 1 species